AGACGGUUCUUCUGUUUUUCUCCUUCCGUGCAUUAUUUUUUCCACAUAAAAAAAUGCAAAUACGAGUUGACAAUCUAUACUCUCUUUUCCCUUUAUCAUAAGGCGAGUGAUAGGCGCCGGUGCGCCGGCCCAAAUUUGGGCCGGUCGCUGCGCUACUGCACGAUACGUCACUUUUAAACCGUACGAUCUCGUUCAUCUAAACAAAAAGGAAAAAAAGAAAAGGGGACAGAGCCUAGCGCAAUCGCUCAUCCUCAUCCGGUUGCGCUCCUCCUCAUCCGCGCUCGCCGUCGGUUUGCUUGUGCCGGCGCGCCAGAGGUCGCUAUCGCCGCGCUGACCGCCCCAUGGUUGCAGCACGGGGGCACACCGUCCCAUCUCCACCACCAGCCGCUGUUGCAGCUCCGCUACCACCGCCGUCCCCCGUCCGAGCAAAUCGACUCCAUGGUCAUAGCUUUUUCAUCUCGCCAUCGCUGCUUAUAGCUCCCGCCAUUGAAGGUUGUAGCAUCUACUGAUGAAGGUUGUAGCAUCACCUUCAUCGUCCAACUCUGGUUUGACGCAUCAUCAGCUCCCACCACCAUGUUCCAGCAAAAAAAACAAAAUUCAUCAGCAAAAAAGCCACUGUCACCGGUAGUAGCAAAAAUCAAAUACAGUUCCAACAAAAUACAUCACCGCCGUCGCCGCUGACUGUCGCAAUGAAACACCUCGCCGAAGCAGCAAAAACUUUGUCGGUUGUAGCAAAACAAAAGGCCGGUUCCAGCAAAACGACUUGCCUGCUCGUCCGAUUCCAGACCUGGUCGGUGUGGAUGCAACUUAUUCGCCGGCUGAUUCCGUUGAAGCAAAAACAUUAGCAGGUUCCAGCAAAAAAAGAAAUCGGUUCCAACAAAAAAAACAGUGAAGAAAAUCUGGUGGUUGAUUUGUAGCAAAAAGGAUUGCUAUUUCCAACAAAAAUAAAGAAUGCUUCUAGCAAAUAAAUAACUCAGCAAGGAGACUCCAAGUGGUUCGAUUGUAGGCUUGUAGCAAAACAUAAAAGGUUGUAGCAAAAAGGAUUGCUAAUUCCAGCUGAAAAAAACAUUGGUUCCAGCAAAUAAAAUCAACAGGGGAUCCCAGUGGUUCGAUUGUAGCAAACAAAAAAGCUAGUUCCAGCAAAACAGAACACUGGUUCCACCAAAAUGCAACAAAAAGGCGCAGCUAAAAUCACCACCUGCACGGUUGGUAGCUCUGAAGUUCGCCGGUUCCAGCUCCGGUUGCAACACCUCGCGGUGCUGGUUCAGCUCCGGAUCAGGCGGUAGCCGGUGCACCAACGACUCGGCACGAGCCGCAGGUGGUUCCAGCUCCCGUGCUUGGCUCGCAACAAAAACGGAGUGAAGGUCAUGCGGCUUGGAACAAGAGAGAGAGGAUGGGAUGUGGGACGCGGAGGUCGCCGGCGUCACUGGAAUUUGCGGCAACGGCGGUCGUCGAGAUUUGGGCCUAGUGCGCGUUGGAUCUGGGGUUGAUUUUUCGUAGAGCUGAGAGAAAUGGAUCGAGGGAACUGAAUGGAUAAGGUCUAGCACUAGUAAGAGAUAUGCCAGGGGAAAGGAAGGCGACGCGUGGAGCAGUGCGUGGGCCCAGUGCCAGGUAACGUGUCUCGUAUACAAUCUGCAAUCGAACGCACGUGGCUCGACCGGCCGAACGCUCGG
rnacentral:lncRNA from 1 species